CCAUAUUUUUACAUCUGAUUUGGGUGCUUUCAUAUUUGUCAAAUGUCAAAACCAUUACCCAAAAAAGUUAGGAAUCCACCAAUGGCGACCAACUAAUUUGCGACUUCUAAAGGCCUUUGAUGUAGGGUAGACAAACACUGGGCACAAAAUACACAGGAACUGGCAUAUUGUAGAUCACAAAGGCAACAUUUUUGAAUCCAAGUGCUCUAUUUUCUAUAGAUA